rnacentral:lncRNA from 1 species
UCUCACCCCUCAAAACUCCUUCAGGAUGCACACACAUUCCUAUUCCACAGGCUUUGCAGGUCCCUCCCUGACUGUCCUGGAAGGGGGAACCCCGGGGAGUUUUCCCCUCAGUUAUACACCCCACCCCCAUGCAAUCAAGCCCAGUCAGUCCUCCCUGCCCAUCCUGGGCCGGCUCCUCCUUCCCCUUGGCUAGGCCCUGGAAAUCCAGUGGGAGGCCAUUGCUAUGGUAACAGGACUAGGCCCUGGCUUUACCUCAUCAAAUUCCAAGCUGAAGCUAAAACGAUUGAGAAAUUAAAGGGAAAAAAUGUA